GAAAAAGCUAAUUUAGCCCCACAUAACCAGAAUAAUUCGCUCCAAAAAUGGCUAGUGAAAACAACAUCGUGAUCACUCAUAAUAGAUUUUGGUAGACCAUGUAAGCAAAAAAUGUGUGUAAAAAAUGCAUUUGCCAGACUUACAGCAGUAUAAGGAUGAGAAAGUGGAAUAAAAUCAGCAUACUUGGAAAAUCAAUCGAUAACCACCAACAUAACAUAUUUCUCGUGGACUUCAUAGGCACAUCAGACCAUAUUUGAGUAGGAAGUGCUAAUGGCUAUAAGAGACCCGUAGGAUGAAGAUUAGAAGUCUUGUUACGCUGGAAAACUCUACAAGACUGAACAAAAGUCUGAAUAGUAGUUUUAUCCCCUUCCAAUAGAAGUCACUUCGUACUCGUGGUAAUGUUUUUCAUACCCCCUCAUGUGUGCCAUUAUGAACAGCCGCAAUAGUAGUUUCUAACAAAGGUGA
rnacentral:misc_RNA from 1 species